UCAAGCUUGUGGGACGUGCCUGGUGAGGAUAUUCCAUUCAAUGACACAUCUGUGGUCCUUACAUGUUGACCAGCCAACAAGAACUUGCUGAGUACAGGACGGACAAGGUUGGCAUUCCGCUGGCUCUACAGGGGAUCAACGGGAAGGAUGGAGAGAACAGCUUGUGUGCCAGGUGGGGAGACGGACAUGGACCAAUACUGAAUAACAUACAACACAAUGGUUUAGAAAGAGAAUUCAAGGUAUGUGGACUGGACUAAGCCAUGGCUAAGCUCACAAAAGACUUCCUGGAAGAAGAUGCACAGCCUAUGGUGAGGCACAAUCUCCCUGUCUGUACUGCGAGUUCUUGGGUCAAGACACAACUCACCUCUACCUAUCUGUACACUGACAGCAAAGUCCUUUUAAUAUCAAACAGAAAUGAAUGACAAUGAUGGUGACCACAUUUCCCAAACCCACGAACGGUCAGGUUUCUGUGGGGCCUCUCCAUUUCAGAGGCUCUCUGAAAGCCAGUGUGGAUAGGA
rnacentral:lncRNA from 1 species